AAAGAUGUCAUAACAUAUAACAUGUUAAAACAUAAUUGUUAGGAGAUACAAACCAUCAUCAUACACAGUUGUGACAGCUGAGAUAAUGAAAAAUCCAUGGAACUCAUUAAGAGCCCAAAAAUAUUACAUAAAGGCAUCAGUAAGGACUGCCACAAAUUACACAUUUAAACAAAAAGAAACAAAUUCUUCAGCAUCAAAACAUCAAGGGGACCAGCUUUCAUAACAUCAGCCACACCAGAACAGUCUUCAUCAGCACACAGUCGUC
rnacentral:lncRNA from 1 species